rnacentral:rRNA from 1 species
AUUGAACGCUGGCGGCAGGCCUAACACAUGCAAGUCGAGCGAGCGGCGGACGGGUGAGUAAUGUAUGGGGAUCUGCCCGAUAGAGGGGGAUAACUACUGGAAACGGUGGAUAAUACCGCCUACUACCGGAUGAACCCAGAUUGGAUUAGCUAGUAGGUGGGGUAAAGGCUCACCUAGGCGACGAGAUCUAGCUGGUCUGAGAGGAUGAUCAGCCACACUGGGACUGAGACACGGCCCAGACUCCUACGGGAGGCAGCAGUGGGGAAUAUUGCACAAUGGGCGCAAGCCUGAUGCAGCCAUGCCGCGUGUAUGAAGAAGGUUUUCGGGUUGUAAAGUUCUUUCGGUAGCGAGGCGUUAACUACAGAAGAAGCACCGGCUAACUCCGUGCCAGCAGCCGCGGUAAUUC